CCGUAAUAACAAAAACAGUCAUGAGAACAUUUAUAGUAAAUACAUUUUGGUGGUGGCGCUCUUUACUCCUACAACGGUCGUAAGGAACGCAGUCCUGUGUAUAUACUAGUCAAGAUAUCAUAGAAAGGCCUGUC
rfam:Parabacteroides goldsteinii dnLKV18 genomic scaffold acPFM-supercont1.4, whole genome shotgun sequence.